UCACGUGACCAAACCACGCCUCGACACAGUGGCUCGAUACGUUUGCUUCAUGAGCUACAGCGCAUGUGUCGAAACCUCGGGUAGCAGAGGACCAUCACUGUCUGUGGCUGCUGUUGACCUUGUUUUUGGAGUAAAACACGGUGGAAGCUGAAUUAGUGAGGAUGACUCCUGCUCCUGUCAUCUCUAAGCUCCUCACACAUCUUUACCUGCACAUGAGGAAAAUCACUCCUGUAGAAUGCAGAUGUUCAGAGGGAGAUGAUGCCACAUCUGGUCCAGCUGAUGGAAGGUCUUGAAGUUCUCUGACUGGCCUCGACUGAAGAUGGUCGUCUCACUGGAUUUAAGAGAUGCACAAUGAGGGACGUCUGCAGCGACUGAGAAAGAGUCUCACCACAUCCUGACAUGAGGAAAAAGACUUUAUUGAAGACUACAAUGAGGAAAAACUAUCAGACAGCAGACGGCUGCAUUCAAGGUGAGCUCUGAACAUUUGAUCUGGAACAGGAAUUCAAUAACGGCAGCAUGAGCUUCAUUUCAGUCUGUAGCUGCUGAAUUCAUGGAUGAAUCAUCUGGCACUAGAGAAGAAGACCAUCAAACAUCCACAUCAGCUGAUGGAGGUCCAAGAGUCUCACCAAACAAACAACCUACAGAGUGAAGACCUCGAAUCUGAUUGGACGGCCUCCUAUUCAGCCACAUGUGAACAAAUGCCUCUAAGCUGAUUUGUUUUCUAAAAUAAAUCUAGUUUGAGUCCUAA